rnacentral:tRNA from 1 species
GCUGGCUCAGUCGGUAGAGCAUGUGACUCUUAAUCUCAAGGUUGUGAGUUUGAGCCCCACAUGGGGCA